rnacentral:lncRNA from 12 species
AUAACAUUUUGUACUGGUGAUGCUGGAUGUCCGUGUGAGACAUCUGUGGCUGGGGCUGGACGCCCCCCUCCGUAUCUAGGGACGCCCCCCUUGCAUGGGGACUGGGACUGUGGGAUUUCCAGCCACGUCCUGUUGACUUGAACCGACUCAGCAGGCACUGCCAUCCUGGGAAACCAAGAAACCUCCUCGUCUCUGGCUUGCUGCGAUCUCCUGGGCUUUAUAAUCAGGCUGCCUUCACAGACACAUUCCUCAAAGCUCGUUUGGAGCAUACAUAUUUUUAAUACAAGAAGCCUGUUGGGAGAAAAACACGAGAUGAAUGUAUUUCUCACCAAAACUCAUAACUCUUUGCUUCCUCCACUAGCUUUUACUAGGACUUGACAAAAAUGGAAAUAGUCUCUCUAGGGUCAGGGUGGGGGUCAUUUCAACUACUUCAGGACCUGGAAGAGAUUCGUCAUGUUGUAUUUUUCCCAUUCCUUGCUAACAAAUGACGACAUGAUGGUUCUGCCUCUGGAAGCUGAGAAUCUGCAGAGGCAUCGAGUUGGUCUGCGGAGAGGAUGCGAGUUGGCCCGGCAGGGUAUUCAAAUCCUGCUGACUCAUUUCUCUACGAUUUUACUCAAUGAAUAUCUAAGCACUGGUGUUUCGCUGUUGGCCGUGGCGGGGGAAGAGCAGCCCAGAUACAUCCAUUUUAACUCCACACGCAAAGCCAUUUUAAGUAUCUGGGCCAACGGUGCCCUUCCUGGGUGAUGAGGAUGAGAAGGUGCUCAGGAGCACGAGUGCUGUGGGCAUGUCAGCCAUCUGUCCUGCGAACCCGAGUGCGGGAGCUGGGUGCCAAGGGCUGUAUUCUGAGCCCCUCGGUUGCAACAUGAGCCAACACACCCAAAUCUCUGCUUUUAUGAGCAUAUGAUUUCGACAGGGGCCUGAGGGGAAGAAGCCCCACGUCUUCAGUGUGCAGGUCAACCUCUGCAGGAGAUCUCUUAUGUGGCGUCAUCAAAUAAUAGAGAACCACGACCAAAAAGUCAUCCCAAGGAGUUUUCAUGUAACAACAUUGUCUUUGGAAAUCAUGUGUGUGUGAAGGCAGAGAUUAUAACUCUCAUCUCCUUAAUGGUUUUGGGGGCCAUUUUUGAUUGUUGGGAUGAAAAGCAAAGGCCUGUGGAGGAAACAAGAACAAAUUCUGGAGGUGGGGCCACUGGCAGUCAGUCUCUGAAGGUUUUACAUCUGACAAUGUAACACUAGUGGCCUCUGGAAGGCCUGGACUUCAUACCCCUGAAGGUGUCCCAGCCUCGCUGUCAUGCAGCCAGAUGACACUGGCCCAGCUCUUUCCUGGUCUGCUCCAGCCCAGGGGACUGCUGGGGACUGAAUCACGUUUCUCCCAAGUGUGCAUGUUGACACCUUGAUUGGAGAUGGGCUCUCUGAGGAGGUAACUAAUGUUAAACAAUGUCAUAAGGGUGAGGCUCUGGUCCCAUAGGACUGGUGACCUGGGAAGAAGAGGAAGAAACAGCAGCUCUCUCUCUCCCCUCCACAUGAAGACACAGUGAGAAGGUGGCGGUCUGCAAGUCAGGAAGGGAGCUCUCUCCCCAGAGCCUGGCCACGCUGGCACCUUGAGCUGACUUCCAGCCUCCAGAGAUAUGAGAAAUAACUGUCUGUGGUUGAAGCGGCUGGUCCGUGGGGUGUGGUGUUCUGUGAUGGGGGCCCAAGGUGACUAAGGCAUGGCAUCUUCAACCACCAGUCCAAAGAAGGCCCUGGCAACGGUCCUCCUCCUCUGCUCUGGGCUCCCCCACAGUGUGUGCGUUCUUACCCACCCGCCUCCAUGAGAAGCUUGGCUGUGAGGACUCCAGGAAUGGGUCCUGUUGUCCUUUGACCCCCUGGGGUACUAGCCAGAUUCAUUCCUCAUGCUAUGACAAGUAAUAUUUGUUGACUGAUUAACUGGUCUGCCAGCUGAUUAGCCAAGUGGUACCUGGUAUGCUGAAAUAGUUUGUUUUUACCUUGGUUUCAGAAUUGGCAAAGAAACAUUGAGAAUAUUCUGUACACAAUUCUGGUUAUUUUGAGAUAUGAGAGUUGUUUAUUUUCUCCUGGAAUGAUCCGGAGGGUCACUUCUGCCCUUCAACUGGUGCGUGAACAUAAAACGGAGCAGCAGAUGCCAAAUUCUACAAAAGGUGCACUUUCAUUUUCUUUGAAUGGAAGGUGUUUUAUCAAUAAAAUUAAAAUCCCAUUAAAUUCUCUGGUACUU